AUCCAUUUAUCGCUUCUCUGCCUUGAUCAAGUGUAGUAUCUGUUCUUAUCACUUUAAUAUCUGAUACGUUCUCUAUAUGAAGACUACAUAUUACAUUUAUUUAAUAUGUAAAUGUAAAGUUGUGGGCUGGAGGCGACCCUGUGACUAGAAGGUCGCUGGUGCGAUCGCCUGAACUGAC
rnacentral:snRNA from 1 species